rnacentral:rRNA from 1 species
UACGGAGGAUGCAAGCGUUAUCCGGAAUCAUUGGGCGUAAAGAGUCCGUAGGUGGAAAAGUAAGUCUGUUGUCAAAGAACGGGGCUUAACCCCGUAAAGGCAAUGGAAACUGCAUUUCUAGAGGCAGGUAGGGGUAGAGGGAAUUUCCAGUGUAGCGGUGAAAUGCGUAGAGAUUGGAAAGAACACCAGUGGCGAAAGCGCUCUACUGGACCUGGACUGACACUGAGGGACGAAAGCUAGGGGAGCGAAAGGG